rnacentral:rRNA from 1 species
AACGAACGCUGGCGGCAUGCCUAACACAUGCAAGUCGAACGAGACCUUCGGGUCUAGUGGCGCACGGGUGCGUAACGCGUGGGAACCUGCCCUUAGGUUCGGAAUAACUCCCCGAAAGGGGUGCUAAUACCGGAUAAUGUCUUCGGACCAAAGAUUUAUCGCCUAUGGAUGGGCCCGCGUUGGAUUAGCUAGUUGGUAGGGUAAAAGCCUACCAAGGCGACGAUCCAUAGCUGGUCUGAGAGGAUGAUCAGCCACACUGGGACUGAGACACGGCCCAGACUCCUACGGGAGGCAGCAGUGGGGAAUAUUGGACAAUGGGCGAAAGCCUGAGCCAGCAAUGCCGCGAGAGUGAUGAAGGCCUUAGGGUUGUAAAGCUCUUUUACCGGGGAUGAUAAGGACAGUACCGGGAGAAUAAGCUCCGGCAAACUCCGU